rnacentral:tRNA from 1 species
GCCCGAGUGGCUUAGUCAGUAAAGUGUCUGACUUCAGCUCAGGUCAUGAUCUCACAGCUCGUAGGUUCGAGCCCCACAUCUGGGCU